AAUGAACGCUGGCGGCAUGCCUAACACAUGCAAGUCGAACGAAGGCCCGAUUUCGGUUGGGUCCUUAGUGGCGCACGGGUGCGUAACGCGUGGGAAUCUGCCCCUCGGUUCGGAAUAACAGUUAGAAAUGACUGCUAAUACCGGAUGAUGACGUAAGUCCAAAGAUUUAUCGCCGAGGGAUGAGCCCGCGUAGGAUUAGCUAGUUGGUGUGGUAAGAGCGCACCAAGGCGACGAUCCUUAGCUGGUCUGAGAGGAUGAUCAGCCACACUGGGACUGAGACACGGCCCAGACUCCUACGGGAGGCAGCAGUGGGGAAUAUUGGACAAUGGGCGAAAGCCUGAUCCAGCAAUGCCGCGUGAGUGAUGAAGGCCUUAGGGUUGUAAAGCUCUUUUACCCGGGAUGAUAAUGACAGUACCGGGAGAAUAAGCUCCGGCUAACUCCGUGCCAGCCGCCGCAGUA
rnacentral:rRNA from 1 species